AAGUCGUAACAAGGUUUCCGUAGGUGAACCUGCGGAAGGAUCAUUAACACGUAUCCAAACGUUAAAACCCCCCCCGUGAACCUUCAUCCUGCUCUUACGGUCUACAGGAAUCGUAGAAGCGCUAUCCUUGCAAUCAAUGACACUUUCCGCCACUGACUGCUUGGGGAAACAUUGCCUAUAGAACUACCGCUCGAUUGUAACUGUUCCAAUGUUUGCACGUAGCCAGAGGUCUCUGAAUCACUACAACUUUCCGGGCUAUGAUUUAUCAGAAAUUGCGAACUACGCGGGUUACAUACACUCGGGCAGGAGCUUUGCCAAAGGGUCCCCAUGCCCCCUAAUAACCCCACAGUUUAAUGUGAAGCUCAAUGUAAUACAUUGGGUAAAAAAACCGAACAACUGUUUACAAUGGAUAUCUUGGUUCUC
rnacentral:misc_RNA from 1 species